ACUGUAGAGAGAACCUGGAUAGCAAGAUGUGGUUAGGCACCUCGUUUUUAGGUUGUUAAAAUUAGUUGGAAUGAAAUUCACCCUUAAUGGUUAAAGAUAUGUCAACAGGCUCAAAAGUCAGCUAGUCUGAUAGUGUAUAUUGCAUCUUAUCCGACCUCCUCAUAUGAGGUGAUUAAUGAGCUGAAGAAAGACGUUGUCAUCAGGCAACUCUUCAAGAUAGAAAAGCGCAACUGAAUUUGGGAAGAUACAAUGCGUUUAUUGCCAUGACAAGGUGUUAUAUUAGUGGGAAAAGAUUUAUAAGGAAGAUGAGUUAAAUGUCCUGGCAAGCAGAUCUGAAGCAUGGCCCUGAGCUUUUGGGAGACCUAGUGAGGGUCGCUGUGUUGUGUGUCCAGGGGUCAUGGCAGCAGAGAAAUGGGAGUUUUGGUGUUGCUAAAAGGGGACACUCCCAGAGGCUGAUAUUUCAUAUUGCCACGUUGCCACAACCCUCCAUGACAAGGAGAAAAUUUCAGUCACUCGCCUCAUUGGGUUGCAACCCUUUAUGAAUACCGCAACUAAUAGUCUGGCAGCUGAGCCCACAGCCUCUCUGCAAGGAGUUUCACUGAAGAAAUCCCCUCUGCACAGGCCCAGCAGCCCAGAUCAGCCUUUUCUGGUGGAUGGUGAAACACUGGAAGACCUUUGAAAGAAAUUGUUACCAUGGGGUAAGUGAGGUUUUUGCAGGUGUGCUGCCAUGAGGACAAAAAGCAGAAGGCUUGUUCCCAGGAGCUACACUUCUGCCCCACCACACCUGGACAUGUUCCUGCACCCUCAGCAUCUCCCCUGCUGCAUGGGAGCAGUCCACCUUGCCUGCGCCUGCACCUUCAGGACUGUGGUCUUUCUGUAGCAGAAACCUGCUGAGGUGUGCAGAGGGAGUGUUACCCCACCACCUCCCUUGACAAAGCAGGGGGCUGUGCAGUGAGGGGAGGACACACAAAACCCUUCCAGCCUUGAAAAACAUCAGCGGGGCUGCAGGCAGGCUCCUGUUGCACAGCAGCCAGACUGGCUGGCACCCCAACAGGGCACUUCAUCCCCAGACAGCUGCAGCCAGGUCUGACAACACCCAUGCUGAGCAGGCCUGAGGGCAGCUGUGAGGGGGAAACCUCAGUGGCACUUAGAGGCACAUCUUCAUGCACCACACAAACCACUCACACUGCAGAUAGGAGACACCAACCACUCAUGCACACCACACUUGACACAAAACACACGCACCACCGGAGACAAAACACUAGUGCAUUGCACAAGUGAAAAACAGAAUAGCUGUACGCUGCACACUCCUGGGAUACAAACCACACCAGUGACACACAGUGGAGACAGGACCUGUGUGCUAGUUGUGCAAUACACAGGUGAGUACAAAACAGUGGGGUAGCACAAGUGUGUGCCACACACCACCUCUACACAUGACACUUGUGUGCCAUACCUGACAAAACACUUGCACCACAAGACACUCAAGCACCGCACACUUAUGCUCCACAUUUGCUGUACACAUGAAACAGCACAUGCUACACAACACCCACGAUGCUGCACGUGUGAUGUACAGUGAGCUGCACAUCAGGACACACUGCACGUGUAACACCACACAUUUGCCACACACAUAGUGCUCUGACAUACCAUACACAUUAUACCCCACAUGUAUGAUGCUGCACACAUCAGACCCAACAUGCAUGACACCAUGUGUGCCCACAGCCAUGAAACACCCCAUCUGUUAUGCCACACAUGAUGCACUGCACAUGUGAUGCUGCACAUGCAUGACAUACCAUACACAUGUCCUUGCAGACAUGACACCACAAAUGCAUGUCAUAUACCACACAUGACACUACACAUGCCAACAUACACACUACUGAUGACAAACCACACUAUGCCAGUGUCCUGGGUUCAGCUGGGAUAGAGUUAAUUUCUACAGGAACCUGGGAGGUGGGGGGGCACAGCCGGGGCAGC